GCGAACGGGUGGAGUAAUGCAUCGGAACGUGUCCUGCCGUGGGGAUAACUGGCCGAAAGGUCAGCUAAUACCGCAUGCGACCCACGGGUGAAAGGAGGGGAUCGAAAGACCUUCCGCGGCAGGGGCGGCCGAUGCCUGAUUAGCUGGUUGGCGGGGUAAGAGCCCACCAAGGCGACGAUCAGUAGCUGGUCUGAGAGGACGACCAGCCACAUUGGGACUGAGACACGGCCCAGACUCCUACGGGAGGCAGCAGUGGGGAAUUUUGGACAAUGGGGGCAACCCUGAUCCAGCCAUGCCGCGUGCGGGAAGAAGGCCUUCGGGUUGUAAACCGCUUUUGCCGGGGACGAAAAGCGAUGUGCCAAUACCACGUCGCGCUGACGGUACCCGGAGAAUAAGCACCGGCUAACUACGUGCCAGCAGCCGCGGUAAUACGUAGGGUGCGAGCGUUAAUCGGAAUUACUGGGCGUAAAGCGUGCGCAGGCGGCUGUGCAAGACAGAUGUGAAAUCCCCGGGCCCAACCUGGGAACUGCAUUUGUGACUGCACGGCUCGAGUGUGUCAGAGGAGGGCGGAAUUCCGCGUGUAGCAGUGAAAUGCGUAGAUAUGCGGAAGAACACCGAUGGCGAAGGCGGCCCUCUGGGGCACAACUGACGCUCAUGCACGAAAGCACGGGGAGCAAACAGGAUUAGAUACCCUGGUAGUCCGUGCCCUAAACGAUGUCAACUGAUUGUCUGGGAAGCGAUUCCUGGGUAACCAAGCCAACGCGUGAAGUUGACCGCCUGGGAAGUACGGUCGCAAGAUUAAAACUCAAAGGAAUUGACGGGGACCCGCACAAGCGGUGGAUGAUGUGGAUUAAUUCGACGCAACGCGAAAAACCUUACCUAGCCUUGACAUGUCGGGAAUCCUGGUGAAAGCCGGAGUCCGCA
rnacentral:rRNA from 1 species